UACGUAGGUGGCAAGCGUUGUCCGGAUUUACUGGGCGUAAAGAGCGCGCAGGCGGUCGUUCAAGUCGCGUGUGAAAGUCCCCGGCUCAACUGGGGAGGGUCACGCGAUACUGAUCGACUCGAAGGCAGGAGAGGGAAGUGGAAUUCCCGGUGUAGUGGUGAAAUGCGUAGAUAUCGGGAGGAACACCGGUGGCGAAGGCGGCCUUCUGGACGGAUACUGACGCUGAGACGCGAAAGCGUGGGGAGCAAACAGG
rnacentral:rRNA from 1 species